rnacentral:rRNA from 1 species
CUGCAGCCCGAGUGGUGAUCGAUUUUAUUGAGCCUAAAGCGUCCGUAGCCGAACUAGUAAACCCUUGGGUAAAUUGGGCAGCUUAACUGUCCAAAUUCCGAGGGGACUGCUAGUCUUGGGACCGGGAGAGGUCAGAGGUACUCAAGGGGUAGGGGCUAAAUCCUGUAAUCCUUUGGGGACCACCAGUGGCGAAGGCGUCUGACUAGAACGGAUCCGACGGUAAGGGACGAAACCCUGGGGCGCGAACCGGAUUAGAUACCCGAGUAGUCC